rnacentral:rRNA from 1 species
UAGCGUUGCUCGGAAUCACUGGGCGUAAAGGGCGCGUAGGCGGCGAUUUAAGUCGGGGGUGAAAGCCUGUGGCUCAACCACAGAAUGGCCUUCGAUACUGGGACGCUUGAGUAUGGUAGAGGUUGGUGGAACUGCGAGUGUAGAGGUGAAAUUCGUAGAUAUUCGCAAGAACACCGGUGGCGAAGGCGGCCAACUGGACCAUUACUGACGCUGAGGCGCGAAAGCGUGGGGAGCAAACAGG